GGGGUCAUGGCGCAGUUGGUAGCGCGUUUGAAUGGCAUUCAAAAGGUCAGGGGUUCGAAUCCCCUUGGCUCCACCA
rnacentral:tRNA from 3 species